AGAAUGAAGAUGGCUUCCUGUCCCGCUAGCGUCACGUCGGGAUCUGCCUUCACCAAGGCCUUCACUCGCGCCAGAGGCAACCUCGAGAGACGAGCCCCAGGCACACUCGUUGGGGCCUGGGGCUGCGAGGCCGCUGCCUCCCCAGCAGGUAAAUAACAUCUUUGUGUGGCGUGUUGCAGCUGUCACAGCCGCCAGCAGACAGCCGACUCCCUCACCAGUAAACACCGCGGCUUAGGUGUUGCCCACCGGGCACCGGAAGGCGGCCCCCUUCUCGCUCUCCAGUGAAUGUUCCUAAAACAACUGCGGGGUCCAAGAGCACAGGGAGAACAGCGCCCCUGACGCAGGCUGCGCACCCGCCCGGAGGAGGCAGUGCGUCAGUCCUGAGGUCACCGCCACCCGCUCCCGGGGGACGGCCGCCUGGGCAGGUGAGGAGGCGACCACCUCCCAGACGCCUGCCGGAGCUGCGGCGCACCGACUCCCUGCUUCUCCGAGCGGCGAGCGCCACCUGGAGGCUCCCUCGAGAUCUGCAUUUAGGAGGCGACGGGUCCUUUCAUCGUUUUAUUCAUUAAACAUUUAUCGAGGCCUGGAGCGAUGGUUCAAGCCUGUAAUCCCAGCACUUUGGGAGACCGAGACGGGCGGAUCACUUGAGGUCAGGAGUUGGAGACCAGCCUGGCCAACAUGGCGAAACCCCAUCUCUACUAAAAAUACAAAAAUUAGCCGGGCACGGUGGCGCACACCUGUAAUCCCAGCUACUCAUGAUGAGGCUGAGGCACAAGAAUCGCUUGAACCCGAGAGGCGGAAGUUGCAGUGAGCGGAGAUGGAGCCACUGUGUGUUAGGCUCUGGCGACGUGGGGAGAAAUAAAGAUAAUGUCUUGUUUCCCAGGGCAUUAAUAGCGUGAUGGGGAAGACAGGCCAUCAACAAUGUGCAACACUAAGGGCUAGGAAAGAGGUGGAUACAAAGGAGGGAAUAAGGAAUGUGGUCAUUCCUUAAGGUGUUUAUUGGUGCCAGGUACUGUUCAAGGCACCAAAAAGAAUGGAACCAAACAGAGAUCCUGCUCCCAAAGAGCUCAUAGUGGAAGGACAGCCAGACAAGCUUAGAAUUACGGGACAGGCCUAAGAAGGAGCCAGACUGGGGACCAGAGGCGUCCGAAGGGAAGUCCAGGAAGUACCGCAGGAAAACGUGAUAUAUAUUAAAUCUUAAAGAAUGGGCAGGAUUUUGCCAGGCUUAGUGACAAGAUAUCUUCCGUAAAAUCGUGGAACUGAAAAGAAAGGAUAUAGGUUGAAGAAGGGCUAGUUCUGUGUCUGAAAUAGAAGGAACAUGAAAGAGAAGUGCUGGGACAUGGGGCAAAAAAGGGAGUUUGGGGCCAGAUCGUGAAAGCCUUGGUUUAACAGGUGAAAAGUUCAAAUUUGAUCCAGGUAGCUGGCAGAGUCAGAGGUUCUAAAGCAGAGACCUGCUCUAUAGAAAGCUCACCAUGAAGUACAGCAGUGAUGGUGGAUGAAGAUACCAACAGCUCAACCUCCUAUGUGCCAGGGAAAUGCUGAGCGCUUAGCACCUGAUAUUUAUCUUAAUUCUCUAAAUGGGCCUAUGGGGUAAGCAUAUUAUUAUCCCAAUUUUAUUGGAAUACUUCCCUGGUAGGGCCCCUAAACAGGUAGCCAUCAAAUGCCUGAUAAAUUCCAGCUAGCUUUAAAUUCUAGUCGCUACAGAGCAGAGCCCUUCCAUCGCACUGAGCUGAAGGAGCCAGAUGGGCAUUACAGACAAGACCCACUCAGUAGGUGAAAUCAACAGAGCCUAAUGACUAUCUAGAUCUGCAAGAUGAAGAAUAGGAAAGAGCUAAAGACAAGAUUAUGAUGAAAAGUUUGAUUUUGAAAUAAUACAUUUUUAAGAGCUGAGAAAAACCGUAUCCAUCAUCCAGAACAACCGCCUAUUCUACCCACACUCCCAGCACCACAUCAGUACACGUGUGCCUGUACUCACCAUUCUGCCUUGCCUCCUGCUGGCAUGGACGAGUGCUGCGUGUUCCUAAGUGCCACCUUCCGCUGUGCACUCGAUCCCAUCCUCGCGCCCACGCAAGAACAUCGCUUCAUCAAUUGGUCCUUCUCUCACAUAUGAAAUUUUUGGUCUUUCUACUGAGUCAUUCCCAUAAAUAUACAUGUGUACUACAAUUUCUCUCAUCGUAAAAAAUAAUAAAAAUAUUUCCUUGACCUCAAA
rnacentral:lncRNA from 1 species